UGGCAUAACUAGUAAUUGACAUUAAUAGAUAAUGUUAAACAAAAUCAUACAACAUGAAAGCAUGGUAUUUCAUGUCCAUUUAACUUUGAUAAUAUAAGUGAUACAGUCCAAGGGUAUCGAUGAAAUGCAUAUUAACUUAAAGAAAGAUGUUCCUCCAAUUAAAAAUUAGACAUAGGGUAAAAUAAAGUCCAUGAUUUUAUUUUAAAUAUUAUCUUGGAUACAGUACACACAUGCAUACAUCUGGUUUUCAUUAUGGUUCCUCAUUCCCUCCAUUUUCGCUACCUCCUUUUUGUUCACCCCCACCUUGUGAACUUUUUCCACCACGAUUUCCUCCUGAACCUUGUUCACCAUUUUUUCUUCCUGCACCACCUUUUUCUCCAUAGUUUAUCCAUCCUCCCCCCCAUGGUUUCCAUGGAACUGUCUCAACUUUUGAUAUGACGUCUUUUGUUGCCCCAACUGCAAAUUAACAAACACUUUUUAUUAUUAAGUACAAUAAAAUAAGGAAAAUUUGUGCAUUCAAUUAAUAUACACAUACAUACACUGUUUCCCAUUUUUAGAUUGCUCAAUUUCUACAACAGAGAUAAACAUUAGUGUACAAAUAAAGAGUUCAAAGAUUAAAUGUUUGGUUUUCAUCCUUGAUUAAUUCAAUUAAGAGUAUAUUGUAGU
rnacentral:lncRNA from 1 species